AUGAAGACCUUUCUCAUCUUUUCCCUCCUUGCUAUCGUGGCGACCACUGCAACAACUGCAGUUAGAGUUCCAGUGCCACAAUUGCAGCCGCAAAAUCCAUCUCAGCAACAACCACAAGAGCAAGUUCCGUUGGUGCAACAACAACAAUAUCCAGGGCAGCAACAACCAUUUCCACCACAACAACCAUAUCCGCAGCCGCAACCAUUUCCAUCACAACAACCAUUUCUGCAGCCGCAACCAUUUCUGCUACAACUACCAUAUCCGCAGCCACAACCAUUUCCACCACAACAACCAUAUCCACAACCGCAACCACAGUAUCCGCAACCACAACAACCAAUUUCACAGCAACAAGCGCAACAAGCACAACAACAACAACAACAACAACAACAACAAUAACAAUAACAACAACAACAAAUCCUUCAACAAAUUCUGCAACAACAACAACUGAUUCCAUGCAGGGAUGUCGUCUUGCAACAACACAACAUAGCGCAUGCAAGCUCACAAGUAUUGCAACAAAGUAGUUACCAACUGUUGCAACAAUUAUGUUGUCAACGGUUGUGGCAGAUCCCCGAGCAGUCGCGGUGCCAAGCCAUCCACAAUGUCGUUCAUGCUAUUAUUCUGCAACAACAACAACAACAACAACAACAACAACAACAACAACAACAACAACAACCGUCGAGCCAGGUCUCCUACCAGCAGCCUCAGCAACAAUAUCCAUCGGGCCAGGGCUCCUUCCAGCCAUCUCAGCAGAACCCAUAGGCCCAGGGCUCUGUCCAGUCUCAACAACUUCCCCAGUUCGAGGAAAUAAGGAACCUAGUGCUGCAGACGCUACCGGCAAUGUGCAAUGUCUACAUCCCUCCAUAUUGCUCGACCACCAUUGCGCCAUCUGGCAUCUUCGGUACUAACUGA
rnacentral:rRNA from 1 species